GAAAAUAUAGUUCAUAUAAAAAUUAGGUUUACAGAAAUCCACGAAUUCAUAUAAUUUAACGUACAAUUAACAAUUAAGUAUUCUUUUAAAAUUGUACCAAAAAAAAAGAAAAAUUUAAAAAUUAAGUCCUGGAAAGAAGGAUAAUUUAAGAGUGGACAAUUAACAAUUAAUAAAUUCUCUAAAAUUGUAACAAAGAAAAAGAGAAAAAUCCUAUUUAAACAAAUUCCAGGAAAGAAUGAUACUCAUUAAUUAUUUCUCCAAAAUAGUCCCCAAAGAAUAAACUAAAAAUUAAAAAAAUGAAGUAGGGAAGGAUUCCAUGGAAAAUGAUUAUUUCUCGUAAAAACCGCGUGGAAGCCAUUUUACAGGUUGCUCCGUCGUUUUCUCCUGAUUUCGGAUUCGUUCCAUUUUUUUCUCGCAUUUCUAGUCAUUUACACGCUCUGUUUGUGUUUGUGGUGGUCCAUCCGCGAUAGAUCUCGACAGCACGGGACAGCAAAGUUCUCCUACCAUAUUUUCAACGAAAAGAGGUCUCAACAAAUUGUCCAAGAACCAUGUCACACCAAACAGGAAUAAAAGCGAAUGAGGCGCUCAAAAAAUUGUUUGCCAAGUGUCGCGAUGGGAAAAUUCGAGUGUUGAAAGUCUCUAUAGAAAAUGAGGAAUUGGCCCCUUCAGCCUUCUCGAAGCCAGCAAACAAGUGGCAAGAUGACUACGAUAAAAUGAUCAAGCCCCUGAUUGUGGAGAACCAGCCAGCAUACAUUCUCUAUCGUCUCGAUACUAAAUCGCCUGACUCCGGCUACGAUUGGUUAUUCAUAUCCUGGUCGCCCGAUACAGCCCCAGUCAGACAGAAGAUGCUCUAUGCUUCGACCAAAGCCACCUUGAAGCAAGAAUUUGGUACGGCUUCCAUAAAAGAAGAGCUGCGUGGCACUGUACCCGAAGACAUAACGUUAGAUGGCUACCACAAAUACAAAAGAAACGAUGCAGCUCCUGCUCCUUUAACUACCGCGGAAGAAGAGUUAGCGGAACUCAAAAAGAGCACAGUUACUACGGACUACAGUGUAGAGACGAGACAUCAGACAUUGAGCGGAGUUGCCUUCCCUGUAACAGAUGAAGCCAAACAGGCAAUCACAGAGCUUGGCAAAGGUGUAUAUGAAUACGUUCAGUUGAAGAUUGACUUGGAGGAGGAGAAGAUACAUUUAGUCAUAGCUUGCGAUGUAUCGUUGGAUAAAUUACCCACAAAAGUUCCAUCCGACUCAGCCAGAUAUCAUCUGUACAAUUUUAAGCACACGCACGAAGGAGAUUACAUGGAGUGCAUAGUGUUUAUAUAUAGUAUGCCAGGAUAUAGCUGUAGUAUCAAGGAAAGAAUGCUCUAUUCGUCUUGCAAAUCUCCUCUUCUGGAUCUCAUUCAAUCGCUCGGAGUGAACAUUACUAAAAAAUUGGAAGUAAAUAGUGGUGAGGAGUUGGCAGACAUGUUAGAAGAUCCUCCAACUAUAAAAGAACCAGCUGCUAUAACUCCUGCAACUCCAUCGACGCCCUAUGCCCCUACUCAAUCUAUACCAGAGAAAAAAUCAAAGCAGAAGCGUUCUUGUGUCUUGAGUUAACCAACUCCAUGUAUCUUUGUCUGCCAUUAAUUCUUAAAUGUUUCUCGCACGUUUAAGCAAUGCAUCGCUUUAACGUGCGAUGUUUUACACAUUGGACAUUCUUCCUUCGUAAAAUUCUGAAUUUGUGAUAAUACGAUAUUAACAUUGAAUGUGUUAUUUAAUGCGAAAUGAUAUAAUGGGUUUCCAAUACUCAUCGUAUAUAGUUGCACUUGUUCUUCGAAGCGAUUUGAAGUGAGAAAUCUAAUGCGUCUUGCAAAGGAUGAAUUUUUAUUGAUUAGCGAUACUUAUUGAUAUUUAGCAUUAAUUGGUCAGAGUGAUACGUAUAUCUAUGUAGCAAGUCAGAGUAGACCAAAAACACUGUAUUUUUCUAAAUUUUAAAAGCAAAAUUCUCACGUUAAGACCUCGUUCAACUGUCUUUUGACAGCUACGAGCAGUUCUCGAUAAACACGAUUCAUAGGAUACAGUUCUUGUUGAUCCAUGCUACGAUGGAUGAUUUACUCGUACAAAGAGUACCAUAAAAAUUCAAUGGAGAUUUGCUUGACGUUGAAAGUGAAGCCUUCUACUGGAUUUUGCAUUUUUACCAACGCGUGAAAGUUUCGUGGGAAAUAUCUCUUCGGUCUUGUCAUGGUUCCUUGUUAAUACUUUUUUUUUUUAAAUGUUUUACGUAACUCUUAUACUCUUAACUCUUGAAAAUGAAAAAAAGAGAAAAGUAAAUCUAGUGAGUUGACUGUGCAAAUUAGUUCCUAGUCCAAUGGAAAAGUGAUAUGUACUAUAAGUUUCCUUUUUGUAUUAAUAAUUUUGUUAAGUAAAACUCUCGAAGGCUUGACUUUCAAAUUCAUUCGAACGGACGUAUAGGAAGCUAGCGUAGACUUAGUGUUUCAAACAAAUAUCUGUGGUAAACCGCAUACCUUAUGUGAUUGUUAGAGAGUUAGGGAAAGAAUUCCAUGUGCCCUAGCUAGCUGAUGCCGCUCACCUAACUUCUCUGCGUAAUAUAAAUAUGAAAAAUGGUAUAGCAGAGUGAUAGUACGUGCAAAUGCCACAUUUACACGUGGAUAUAUUUUCUUUGCACACAAUUAUCAUUUUCCAACACGAGCUAGUGAUGAUACUAGUUACUUUAUAUACAUAUUAAAUUAUAUAUCAUGUUCUAUACUAUUGUAAAUGGUACGAAAGCAUUAGAUUCCACAAAUAUGUGUACGAAGACUGAUCUUGGUAAGUCCCAUUCGCUGUACAAGUCAAAGAGUCGCAGAUACUGUUCGAAUAGAUGAGACAAUUUAUAUAUGUUCCUUCUAUAUCUUCCAAUUAUUUAUUAUUUAUUUAUUGAUCUAAUUGUUAAAAGGUACGCUAAAAAUUUGGGUGAGAAUUGCAGGCGUAGAGGAAAGCGUACUUUGAAAUUGUUUUUAAGAAAACAUUCCCUUGCGUAAAAUGUACAGCGAAUGGGACUGUAAUCUGAUAUAGCGAGCAGCACGAUAUUCGAGAGGCAUUCUAUUUUUUCUGAUCUGUAUUUUUUUAAACUCUUGUAGCUUUUUAUAAACUUUUUAAAAAUUUUCGUCCAAAGACACAAACGAACGAUUCACCAAAAUGGUCUGGCCUAAUUUUAACGAGAUGGUAAAACAAAGUGCGUCAAAUUCUUGGCAUAUAUUUAAUUCAAAAAGAAACAACAGUAACGAUAAACUAGUAGUAACGUGUAAGCAAAAUAUCGAUUAACGUUUUUAUUUAAAAUAUAUGUAUUUGCUUUGAUGUUGGGCUCGAGAUGAAGAGAUUUCAAAAGAAUAUUAAAUAUAGGUACUCGUAUAUAUUUUAUUAGCUCUAUAUUUUUGUUUAUAAUCUCGUGAAAAUUGUUUCACCUUAUGUUCCUAUUUACUGGUCCUCUAUAUAUUUACUCGUAGAGAAAACAUAGAAUUUGACACACGUUUCUUUCUUGUAGCAAACUAAAGAAAGUGAUAAAGAAAAAAAAAAAGUUCUUCGCAAAAUGCUCAAAAAAGAAAAAAAAAAUACUGUUAACAAAAAUGUGUUCUGUAUUUCGUAACGCACAUUGCAGCCUGGACGUGUAUUUUAGUUAAUAUUGAUUCUACCAGGCCUAUUCUGUAAGUUUCUAGCGUAAUAUUACUUUCGAA